rnacentral:piRNA from 1 species
UGCUAAUAACUCCUCGCGCCCUGAUGGUA